rnacentral:rRNA from 1 species
AGUAAAUAGAUACCCGGGUAGUCCACGCCGUAAACGAUGUCGACCUGGAGGUUGUGCCCUUGAGGCGUGGCUUCCGGAGCUAAACGCGUUAAAGUCGACCGCCUGGGGAGUACGGCCGCAAGGUUAAAACUCAAAUGAAUUGACGGGGCCCGCACAAGCGGUGGAGCAUGUGGUUUAAUUCGAUGCAACGCGAAGAACCUUACCUACUCUUGACAUCCAGAGAACUUAGCAGAGAUGCUUUGGUGCCUUCGGGAACUCUGAGACAGGUGCUGCAUGGCUGUCGUCAGCUCGUGUUGUGAAAUGUUGGGUUAAGUCCCGCAACGAGCGCAACCCUUAUCCUUUGUUGCCAGCGGUUAGGCCGGGAACUCAAAGGAGACUGCCAGUGAUAAACUGGAGGAAGGUGGGGAUGACGUCAAGUCAUCAUGGCCCUUACGAGUAGGCUACACACGUGCUACAAUGGCGCAUACAAAGAGAAGCGACCUCGCGAGAGCAAGCGGACCUCAUAAAGUGCGUCGUAGUCCGG